rnacentral:tRNA from 1 species
GUGGCUCAGUGGUAGAGCGCUUGCCUCACAUGCAGGAGGCCCUGGGUUUGAUUCUUAGC